UCCCUGGUGGUCUAGUGGUUAGGACUCAGAACUUUUACUGCUAUGGCCCAGGUUUAAUCCCUGGUCGGGAAC
rnacentral:tRNA from 1 species